UACGUAGGGACCAAGCGUUGUUCGGAUUUACUGGGCGUAAAGCGCGUGUAGGCGGCUCGGUAAGUCUGCUGUGAAAGUCCAGGGCUCAACCCUGGAAUGCCGGUGGAUACUGUCGAGCUCGAGUCCGGAAGAGGCGAGUGGAAUUCCUGGUGUAGCGGUGAAAUGCGCAGAUAUCAGGAGGAACACCAAUGGCGAAGGCAGCUCGCUGGGACGUGACUGACGCUGAUACGCGAAAGCGUGGGGAGCAAACAGG
rnacentral:rRNA from 1 species